UACGUAGGGGGCAAGCGUUGUCCGGAAUUAUUGGGCGUAAAGAGCGCGUAGGCGGUCCGGUAAGUCGGCUGUGAAAGUCAAGGGCUCAACCCUUGAAAGCCGGCCGAUACUGUCGGACUAGAGUCCGGAAGAGGCGAGUGGAAUUCCUGGUGUAGCGGUGAAAUGCGCAGAUAUCAGGAGGAACACCGGUGGCGAAGGCGGUUCUCUGGGCCUGUACUGACGCUGAGGAGCGAAAGCGUGGGGAGCGAACAGG
rnacentral:rRNA from 1 species